UACGUAGGUGACAAGCGUUGUCCGGAUUUACUGGGCGUAAAGAGCGCGCAGGCGGUCGAUCAAGUCGAGUGUGAAAGCCCCCGGCUCAACUGGGGAGGGUCACUCGAUACUGAUCGACUCGAAGGCAGAAGAGGGAAGCGGAAUUCCCGGUGUAGUGGUGAAAUGCGCAGAUAUCGGGAGGAACACCAAUGGCGAAGGCAGCUCGCUGGGACGUUACUGACGCUGAGACGCGAAAGCGUGGGGAGCAAACAGG
rnacentral:rRNA from 1 species